rnacentral:rRNA from 1 species
AAGGAUCAUUACCUAGAGUUGUAGGCUUUGCCUGCUAUCUCUUACCCAUGUCUUUUGAGUACCUUCGUUUCCUCGGUGGGUUCGCCCGCCGAUUGGACAAAACUUAAACCCUUUGUAGUUGCAAUCAGCGUCUGAAAAAACUUAAUAGUUACAACUUUCAACAACGGAUCUCUUGGUUCUGGCAUCGAUGAAGAACGCAGCGAAAUGCGAUAAGUAGUGUGAAUUGCAGAAUUCAGUGAAUCAUCGAAUCUUUGAACGCACAUUGCGCCCCUUGGUAUUCCAUGGGGCAUGCCUGUUCGAGCGUCAUUUGUACCUUCAAGCUCUGCUUGGUGUUGGGUGUUUGUCUCGCCUUUGCGUGUAGACUCGCCUCAAAACAAUUGGCAGCCGGCGUAUUGAUUUCGGAGCGCAGUACAUCUCGCGCUUUGCACUCAUAACGACGACGUCCAAAAAGUACAUUUUUACACUCUUGACCUCGGAUCAGGUAGGGAUACCCGCUGAACUUAA